UACGGGGGGAGCAAGCGUUGUUCGGAUUUACUGGGCGUAAAGGGCGCGUAGGCGGCCACCGCAAGUCGACUGUGAAAUCUCCGGGCUUAACUCGGAAAGGUCAGCCGAUACUGCGGGGCUAGAGUGCAGAAGGGGCAACUGGAAUUCUCGGUGUAGCGGUGAAAUGCGUAGAUAUCGAGAGGAACACCUGCGGCGAAGGCGGGUUGCUGGGCUGACACUGACGCUGAUUGUGCGAAGGCCAGGGGAGCAAACGGG
rnacentral:rRNA from 1 species